rnacentral:rRNA from 1 species
UGAAUACGAGACGCUAAGGCGUCGAAGUAGUGUAUGUCAUACUUCCAAGAAAAGCUUGCACUGUCAUAGAUAAAAAACGCCUGUACCAUAACCGACACAGGUGGGUAGGUAGAGUAUACUAAGGGGCGCGAGAUAACUCUCUCUAAGGAACUCGGCAAAAUAACUCCGUAACUUCGGGAGAAGGAGUGCCUUAUUCGUAAGGUUGCAAUAACAAGAUCCAAGCAACUGUUUAUCAAAAACACAGGUCUCCGCUAAGUCGUAAGACGAUGUAUGGGGGCUGACGCCUGCCCAGUGCCAGAAGGUUAAAGAAGUUGGUUAGCAAUUGCGAAGCUGAUAACUGAAGCCCUGGUGAACGGCGGCCGUAACGAUAACGGUCCUAAGGUAGCGAAAUUCCUUGUCGGGUAAGUUCCGACCCGCACGAAAGGCGUAAUGAUUUGGAUACUGUCUCGGAGAGGGGCUCGGUGAAAUAGACUUGACUGUGAAGAUGCGGACUACCUGCACCAGGACAGAAAGACCCUAUGAAGCUUUACUGUAACUUGAAAUUGAAGUUGGACUUUAUUCGCGCAGUAUAGGUGGGAGGCGUUGAUUAUAAUCUUGUGGGAUUAUUGGAGCCAUCAGUGAGAUACCACUCUUGUAAUGUUAGAUUUCUAACUUUGAAUCAUUAUCUGGUCAAAGAACAGUUUCAGGCGGGCAGUUUGACUGGGGCGGUCGCCUCCUAAACGGUAACGGAGGCGUACAAAGGUUUCCUCUGAACGGUUAGAAAUCGUAUCUAGAGUGUAAAGGCAUAAGGAAGCUUGACUGUGAGACCUACAAGUCGAGCAGGGACGAAAGUCGGUCUUAGUGAUCUGACGGUACUGAGUGGAAAGGCCGUCACUCAACGGAUAAAAGUUACUCUAGGAUAACAGGCUGAUCUCCCCCAAGAGUUCACAUCGACGGGGAGGUUUGGCACCUCGAUGUCGGCUCAUCGCAUCCUGGGGCGGUAGUACGUCCCAAGGGUUGGGCUGUUCGCCCAUGAAAGCGGUACGCGAGCUGGGUUCAGAACGUCGUGAGACAGUUCGGUCCAUAUUCGGUGUAGGCGUUAGAAUAUUGAGAGGAGCCUUCUUUAGUACGAGAGGACCGAGAAGGACAUACCUCUGGUGUACCAGUUAUCGUGCCAACGGUAAACGCUGGGUAGCUAUGUAUGGAGUGGAUAACCGCUGAAAGCAUCUAAGUGGGAAGCCCACCUCAAGAUAAGUAUUCUCU